UGGGGAUUUACCGAUUUUCUCCUCAGACAAGUGUUUCUGUUUUGUGGUCGAUUCUGGGAUCCUUUUCUUGGUGUGUCUUGAUGUUUUCUAUUGGCUAAAGACAUGUCUCUGUGAAACUGACAAUCUCAGGUAGGAGCUGCUGGUUUGUGGUUGGCAGUAUGGAUCACAGUCUGCGACUCAUGAGGAGCUGGGCUGGAGACAUGAAGAGGUUGUCAACAGGUGUGUUCCUAUACUCUACCAAAAUGAGAUAGGGAUCAGUCAUGUGGGCCAAUGUGUGUGAAACUUAAUGUUUUUGCAAAGUCUUCAAACUCUUUGUGUUGAUAUUGUGGACCUUUUAA